rnacentral:rRNA from 1 species
ACCUACGACCAUAUCAACUGAAUGCGCUCGAUCUCGUCUGAUCUCAGAAGCUAAGCAGCGUCGAGUUUGGUUAGUACUUGGAUUAGAGACUGCCAAGGAAUACCAGUUGUUGUAGGCU